GAUCUUAUCAUCACCGGAGACAACAAAGACGGUAUAGACUCUACCAAGACUUUUCUUAAAU
rnacentral:sRNA from 1 species